rnacentral:rRNA from 1 species
GAUGAACGCUGGCGGCGUGCCUAAUACAUGCAAGUCGAGCGAACGGACGAGAAGCUUGCUUCUCUGAUGUUAGCGGCGGACGGGUGAGUAACACGUGGAUAACCUACCUAUAAGACUGGGAUAACUUCGGGAAACCGGAGCUAAUACCGGAUAAUAUUUUGAACCGCAUGGUUCAAAAGUGAAAGACGGUCUUGCUGUCACUUAUAGAUGGAUCCGCGCUGCAUUAGCUAGUUGGUAAGGUAACGGCUUACCAAGGCAACGAUGCAUAGCCGACCUGAGAGGGUGAUCGGCCACACUGGAACUGAGACACGGUCCAGACUCCUACGGGAGGCAGCAGUAGGGAAUCUUCCGCAAUGGGCGAAAGCCUGACGGAGCAACGCCGCGUGAGUGAUGAAGGUCUUCGGAUCGUAAAACUCUGUUAUUAGGGAAGAACAUAUGUGUAAGUAACUGUGCACAUCUUGACGGUACCUAAUCAGAAAGCCACGGCUAACUACGUGCCAGCAGCCGCGGUAAUACGUAGGUGGCAAGCGUUAUCCGGAAUUAUUGGGCGUAAAGCGCGCGUAGGCGGUUUUUUAAGUCUGAUGUGAAAGCCCACGGCUCAACCGUGGAGGGUCAUUGGAAACUGGAAAACUUGAGUGCAGAAGAGGAAAGUGGAAUUCCAUGUGUAGCGGUGAAAUGCGCAGAGAUAUGGAGGAACACCAGUGGCGAAGGCGACUUUCUGGUCUGUAACUGAUGCUGAUGUGCGAAAGCGUGGGGAUCAAACAGGAUUAGAUACCCUGGUAGUCCACGCCGUAAACGAUGAGUGCUAAGUGUUAGGGGGUUUCCGCCCCUUAGUGCUGCAGCUAACGCAUUAAGCACUCCGCCUGGGGAGUACGACCGCAAGGUUGAAACUCAAAGGAAUUGACGGGGACCCGCACAAGCGGUGGAGCAUGUGGUUUAAUUCGAAGCAACGCGAAGAACCUUACCAAAUCUUGACAUCCUUUGACAACUCUAGAGAUAGAGCCUUCCCCUUCGGGGGACAAAGUGACAGGUGGUGCAUGGUUGUCGUCAGCUCGUGUCGUGAGAUGUUGGGUUAAGUCCCGCAACGAGCGCAACCCUUAAGCUUAGUUGCCAUCAUUAAGUUGGGCACUCUAAGUUGACUGCCGGUGACAAACCGGAGGAAGGUGGGGAUGACGUCAAAUCAUCAUGCCCCUUAUGAUUUGGGCUACACACGUGCUACAAUGGACAAUACAAAGGGCAGCGAAACCGCGAGGUCAAGCAAAUCCCAUAAAGUUGUUCUCAGUUCGGAUUGUAGUCUGCAACUCGACUACAUGGAGCUGGAAUCGCUAGUAAUCGUAGAUCAGCAUGCUACGGUGAAUACGUUCCCGGGUCU